rnacentral:rRNA from 1 species
GGAAUUUUGCGCAAUGGGCGAAAGCCUGACGCAGCAACGCCGCGUGGAGGAUGAAGGCCUUCGGGUCGUAAACUCCUGUCGAUGGGGACGAAUGCCUCGCAAGAGGUUUGACUGUACCCGUUGAGGAAGCCACGGCUAACUCCGUGCCAGCAGCCGCGGUAAUACGGAGGUGGCAAGCGUUGUUCGGAAUUACUGGGCGUAAAGGGCGCGUAGGCGGCUUGACAAGUCAGAUGUGAAAGCCCCGGGCUUAACUCGGGAAUUGCAUCUGAAACUGUUGAGCUUGAGUCCUGGAGGGGAUAGUGGAAUUCCCAGUGUAGCGGUGAAAUGCGUAGAUAUUGGGAGGAACACCUGUGGCGAAGGCGGCUAUCUGGACAGUGACUGACGCUGAGGCGCGAAAGCUAGGGGAGCGAACGGGAUUAGA